GGCCCCCGCGAGCGAGCGACCAACGGUGCCGGCCCAACCUCCUCACAUCCCCCGUGCUUCCCGGCCCAACCUCCCCACAUCCCCCAUUCCUCCUCACGCUCUCCCCUCCUCUCCCCCUCCCCACCCAGUUGUGCCGCCGCCACCUCACGCAGCGGUGCGUCUCCGGCGCGGCGAUGAGGAUCUUCGACCUGCUCGAGCUCUCCGGCGAGGCCUCGGGCAAGGAGGCCGUCGCCAAGGUCGCCAAGGAGGUCGUCCCGCGGUCCCUCUCCAAGGACGAGAAGAAGCAGCUCUACGAGCUCAAGAAGAAGUAGUUGCAGCAGGAGGAGCUCCUCCUCAAGCAGCAGCAGGAGGGCCAGCACCAGCUGCCCCAGCAGCAGCACCAGGAUGCUGGUGUGUUGUUUGGCAGGAAUCGGAGAUGAACGUGGCGGAGGCGAGCAGCAAGGAGAAGCAGCCCCCAGGUGCUCCUGGGCAGCGAGGAAGAGGAUCGAGCGGAGCGCGAUCUGGGGAUCAUGGAGUGAACCUAGAGGAAUAUUGUGUGCGGAGGAGCACGUCGGAGCAAAAUUGUAAUAUGAGCAAAAUUGUAAUUACUGUCCAGUUUAAAUACAAUUAUGUAGAGAAACUUUGGAUCGUAUAGAAUAAAGAGCGUAUAGAAUAAAGAGUGAAUUUGUUUUUA